rnacentral:misc_RNA from 1 species
GAUGAAGAACGCAGCGAAAUGCGAUACUUGGUGUGAAUUGCAGAAUCCCGUGAACCAUCGAGUCUUUGAACGCAAGUUGCGCCCGAAGCCAUCAGGUUGAGGGAACGUCUGCCUGGGCGUCACAUAUCGUUGCCCAAUGCCUAUUGCAGUGCAAUAGGAAUUUCUAGGGCGAAUGAUGGCUUCCCGUGAGCGUUGUUGCCUCGCGGUUGGUUGAAAAUCGAGUCCUUGGUAGGGUGUGCCAUGGUAGAUGGUGGUCGAGUUAGAACGAUACCGAUCAUGUGCAUGCUCCCCAAAAUAUGGCCUCUAUGACCCACACGCGUCUUUUGACGCUCAUGACGAGACCUCAGGUCAGGCGGGGCUACCCGCUGAAUUUAAGCAUAUCAAUAAGCGGAGGA